rnacentral:rRNA from 1 species
UACGGGGGGGGGCAAGCGUUGUUCGGAAUUACUGGGCGUAAAGGGCUCGUAGGCGGCCAACUAAGUCAAACGUGAAAUCCCUCGGCUUAACCGGGGAACUGCGUCUGAUACUGGAUGGCUUGAGUUUGAGAGAGGGAUGCGGAAUUCCAGGUGUAGCGGUGAAAUGCGUAGAUAUCAUUUGGAACGCCAAUGGUGAAAACAGGUAGCUGGGGCUGUGCUGACGCUGAGACACGAAAGCCAGGGGAGCGAACGGG